GAACCACCUGAUCCCAUCCCGAACUCAGUAGUGAAACGAUGUAUCGCCGAUGGUAGUGUGGGGUUUCCCCAUGUGAGAGUAGGUCAUCGUCAAGA
rnacentral:rRNA from 1 species